GAUGAAGAACGCAGCGAAAUGCGAUAAGUAAUGUGAAUUGCAGAAUUCAGUGAAUCAUCGAAUCUUUGAACGCACCUUGCGCUCUUUGGUAUUCCGAAGAGCAUGCCUGUUUGAGUGUCAUGAAAAUAUCAACCUUGACUUGGGUUUUGUGCUCUAGUCUCGGCUUGGAAUUGGGUGCUUGCCGCUUUUACGAGCGGCUCACCUUAAAUGUAUUAGCUGGAUCUGUCUUUGAGACUUGGUUUGACUUGGCGUAAUAAGUAGUUCGCUAAGGACAUUCUUCGGAGUGGCCUCGUUUCUAGGACGCUUGUCCGCUUUCCAAUACAAGUUCCACCUCGUGGACAUGACUUUUUAUUAUCUGGCCUCAAAUCAGGUAGGACUACCCGCUGAACUUAAGCAUAUCAAUAAGCGGAGGA
rnacentral:misc_RNA from 1 species